ACAUGAAUUAGAAAGGAGAAUGGAAGAGAAAGAAAGAGAAUUACAUGCCAUUAAAUUGGAUAAUGAAGCGGCCUGGGCCAAGGAAGGCCUUCUCAGAGAACAAAAUAAAGAAUUGGCAACAUUUAGAAGAGAGCGGGAUCAUUCUGAAGCUGAAAGGGCACAGCAUAUACAGCAAAUACGGGACCUUCAAGAACAUGUUCAAGAAAAAGAGAGGCAGAUUCUUGAAUUGCAGGAACAGCAUAGAGCU
rnacentral:misc_RNA from 1 species